UCUGUCUGUAACACCAGUAAAUCUUCCCUGAGGUCAGUCUCUUCCCUGAGGUCAGUCUCUGUCUGUAACACCAGUAAAUCUUCCCUGAGGUCAGUCUCUUCCCUGAGGUCAGUCUCUGUCUGUAACACCAGUAAAUCUUCCCUGAGGUCAGUCUCUUCCCUGAGGUCAGUCUCUGUCUGUAACACCAGUAAAUCUUCCCUGAGGUCAGUCUCUGUCUGUAACACCAGUAAAUCUUUCCUGAGGUCAGUCUCUUCCCUGAGGUCAGUCUCUGUCUGUAACACCAGUAAAUCUUCCCUGAGGUCAGUCUCUGUCUGUAACACCAGUAAAUCUUCCCUGAGGUCAGUCUCUUCUCUGAGGUCAGUCUCUGUCUGUAACACCAGUAAAUCUUCCCUGAGGUCAGUCUCUUCCCUGAGGUCAGUCUCUGUCUGUAACACCAGUAAAUCUUCCCUGAGGUCAGUCUCUUCCCUGAGGUCAGUCUCUGUCUGUAACACCAGUAAAUCUUCCCUGAGGUCAGUCUCUUCCCUG
ensembl:lncRNA